rnacentral:tRNA from 1 species
AGUUAAUAAGCAAUAGCAGUAUAUCUUGAAAGUAUAAAAAAAAAUCAAAUUGAUUUAUUAACUU